rnacentral:rRNA from 1 species
AGCUCCAAUAGCGUAUAUUAAAGUUGUUGCGGUUAAAAGCUCGUAGUUGGAUUUCUGCUGAGGACGAUCGGUCCGCCCACUGGGCGCGCAUCUGGCUCGGCCUUGGCAUCUUCUUGGAGAACGCUACUGUACUUGACUGUAUGGUGCGGUAUCCAAGACUUUUACUUUGAGGAAAUUAGAGUGUUUCAAGCAGGCGCACGCCUUGAAUACAUUAGCAUGGAAUAAUAAGAUAGGACCUCGGUUCUAUUUUGUUGGUUUCUAGAACUGAGGUAAUUGAUUAAUAGGGAUAGUUGGGGGCAUUCGUAUUUAACUGUCAG